UGAUGACGAGACGCUAAGGCGUUGAAGUGGUGUAUGUCAGACUUCCAAGAAAAGCUCGCAAUGUCAUAGAUAAAAAAUGCCUGUACCAUAACCGACACAGGUGGGUAGGUAGAGUAUACUAAGGGGCGCGAGAUAACUCUCUCUAAGGAACUCGGCAAAAUGACUCCGUAACUUCGGGAGAAGGAGUGCCUUAUUUAUAAGGUUGCAAUAACAAGAUCCAAGCAACUGUUUAUCAAAAACACAGGUCUCCGCUAAGUCGUAAGACGAUGUAUGGGGGCUGACGCCUGCCCAGUGCCAGAAGGUUAAAGAAGUUGGUUAGUGUAAGCGAAGCUGAUAACUGAAGCCCUGGUGAACGGCGGCCGUAACAAUAACGGUCCUAAGGUAGCGAAAUUCCUUGUCGGGUAAGUUCCGACCCGCACGAAAGGCGUAAUGAUUUGGAUACUGUCUCGGAGAGAGGCUCGGUGAAAUAGACUUGUCUGUGAAGAUGCGGACUACCUGCACCAGGACAGAAAGACCCUAUGAAGCUUUACUGUAACUUGAAAUUGGAAUUGGACUUUGCUUGCGCAGUAUAGGUGGGAAGCGUUGAAGAUACUCUUGCGGGACUAUUGGAGCUAUCAGUGAGAUACCACUCUUGUAAUGUUAGAUUUCUAACUUUGAACCAUAAUCUGGUCAAAGAACAGUUUCAGGCGGGCAGUUUGACUGCGCGGUCGCCUCCUAAAUGGUAACGGAGGCGUACAAAGGUUUCCUCUGAACGGAUAGAAAUCGUAUCUAGAGUGUAAAGGCAUAAGGAAGCUUGACUGUGAGACCUACUAGUCGAGCAGGGACGAAAGUCGGUCUUAGUGAUCUGACGGUACUGAGUGGAAAGGCCGUCACUCAACGGAUAAAAGUUACUCUAGGGAUAACAGGCUGAUCUCCCCCAAGAGUUCACAUCGACGGGGAGGUUUGGCACCUCGAUGUCGGCUCAUCGCAUCCUGGGGCGGUAGUACGUCCCAAGGGUUGGGCUGUUCGCCCAUGAAAGCGGUACGCGAGCUGGGUUCAGAACGUCGUGAGACAGUUCGGUCCAUAUCCGGUGUAGGCGUUAGAAUAUUGAGAGGAGCCUUCUUUAGUACGAGAGGACCGAGAAGGACACACCGCUGGUGUACCAGUUAUCGUGCCAACGGUAAACGCUGGGUAGCUAUGUGUGGAGAGGAUAACCGCUGAAAGCAUCUAAGUGGGAAGCCCACCUCAAGAUGAGUAUUCUCAC
rnacentral:rRNA from 1 species